GCGGUAGCACAGAGAGCUUGCUCUCGGGUGACGAGCGGCGGACGGGUGAGUAAUGUCUGGGAAACUGCCUGAUGGAGGGGGNUAACUACUGGAAACGGUAGCUAAUACCGCAUAACGUCGCAAGACCAAAGUGGGGGACCUUCGGGCCUCAUGCCAUCAGAUGUGCCCAGAUGGGAUUAGCUAGUAGGUGGGGUAAUGGCUCACCUAGGCGACGAUCCCUAGCUGGUCUGAGAGGAUGACCAGCCACACUGGAACUGAGACACGGUCCAGACUCCUACGGGAGGCAGCAGUGGGGAAUAUUGCACAAUGGGCGCAAGCCUGAUGCAGCCAUGCCGCGUGUAUGAAGAAGGCCUUCGGGUUGUAAAGUACUUUCAGCGAGGAGGAAGGCNUUAAGGUUAAUAACCUUNGYGAUUGACGUUACUCGCAGAAGAAGCACCGGCUAACUCCGUGCCAGCAGCCGCGGUAAUACGGAGGGUGCAAGCGUUAAUCGGAAUUACUGGGCGUAAAGCGCACGCAGGCGGUCUGUUAAGUCAGAUGUGAAAUCCCCGGGCUCAACCUGGGAACUGCAUUUGAAACUGGCAGGCUUGAGUCUUGUAGAGGGGGGUAGAAUUCCAGGUGUAGCGGUGAAAUGCGUAGAGAUCUGGAGGAAUACCGGUGGCGAANGCGGCCCCCUGGACAAAGACUGACGCUCANGUGCGAAAGCGUGGGGAGCAAACAGGAUUANAUACCCUGGUAGUCCACGCUGUAAACGAUGUCNACUUGGANGUUGUUCCCUUGAGGAGUGGCUUCCGGANCUAACGCGUUNAGUCGACCGCCNGGGGAGUACNGCCGCAAGGUUAAAACUCNNUGAAUUGANGGGGGCCCGCACAAGCGGUGGANCANGUGNUUUAAUUCGAUGCAACGCNAANAACCNUACCUACUCUUGACNUCCNNAGAACUUANCANANAUGCUUUGGUG
rnacentral:rRNA from 1 species